CUUGCUCAGUGCUUGGCAUGCAAACAGUGCUGUCUGGCAAAGUGCUUCCCAUUGAGCAAUGAUGAAGUAGAACAGCCAAGAAAUGACACGGAUGAUUUUACAGAGCAUGGGCGGGCUUGAGUGGGCGUGGGCUGUACCUUAGUGGUAGAGCACUCCCCUCACAUGCUGAUGCUGUAGGUUCAGUCUUCAGUACUACCAAACAAAUAAGAAAAGCCUGGGUGUUUUCACAGAGCCUGUGACGGGACACAAGGGAUGGGAGCUGAGGGAGCUGUCGGGAGUUUCGUCAGUCCCGGGAUGGAGCCUCAGCUUUUAUCUUCUGCCUCAGUAGCCUUGGAUGGAAUUUUUGACUCUCAGGAGAUUAAUUUCUGAGCAGUGAUGAUUGUUUGAUUUUAGAUUAGAAGACAGCCAACACCAGCAUCAACCAACCCAACAAGACAGUCCCUAAAGAAUUUACACUCCGUCUAAGACUAUAUAACUAUAGCCUCUUCCCAAAGCAAGUUUCUGAGACAGACAGACCUUGAAGUGAAGAAGAAAAGAAAGUGUGCCUCAUUCUCCACUGGUGUCAUACGGAAGGCCCACAACUAAUGUCCCAGUUAGAUUUAACUAUCAACUUGAUACCGCCUGGAGUCACCUGAGAAUCCUUCUCAACCGAAGUAUCUCUCUGAUCAGAGCCACUAAGGGCAUAUCUGUGGGGCACUGUAUUGAUUAUGAAUUGCUGUUGGAGGCCCAGACCACUGUGGGCCAUCCAUUUCCUGUGCGUGUGGUCUUGGGUUAUAUAAAAGUCAUGAGCCUGCGAGUGAGCCAGGAAGCAGCAUGGUUCCAUGGCUUCUGCUUUGA